rnacentral:rRNA from 1 species
GACGGGGGAUGCAAGUGUUAUCCGGAAUCACUGGGCGUAAAGCGUCUGCAGGUGGUUUCCUAAGUCCACUGUUAAACCUUGAGGCUCAACCUCAAAUCUGCAUUGGAAACUAGGAGACUUGAGUAUAGUAGGGGUAGAGGGAAUUUCCAGUGGAGCGGUGAAAUGCGUAGAUAUUGGAAAGAACACCGAUGGCGAAGGCACUCUACUGGGCUAUUACUAACACUCAGAGACGAAAGCUAGGGUAGCAAAUGGG